CCUGCGGACCGGGCCCCUCUGUCGACGGCGUUACGCCAUCGUCAUGUCGGACCGCAUCG
rfam:Sphingomonas paucimobilis NBRC 13935 DNA, contig: SP643.